AGUGAACGCUGACGGCGUGCCUAAUACAUGCAAGUCGAACGAAGUGGCGCACGGGUGAGUAAUAUAUAGUUAAUCUGCCCUACACCGAGCAACAACAGUUGGAAACGACUUCUAAUACCUCAUAGUGUAGGAUGAGCCUAUAUCGUAUCAGCUAGUUGGUAAGGUAAUGGCUUACCAAGACUAUGACGCGUAACUGGUCUGAGAGGAUGAUCAGUCACAUUGGAACUGAGGCACGGUCCAAACUCCUACGGGAGUCAGCAGUAAGGAAUAUUGCGCAAUGGGCGAGACCCUGACGGAGCAACGGCGCGUGGAGGAUGAUACUUUUCGGAGCGUAAACUCCUUUUAUCAGGAAAGCGGUACCUGAUGAAUAAGCAACGGCUAACUCCGUGCCAGCAGCCGCGGUAAUAC
rnacentral:rRNA from 1 species